GUAGGUGAACCUGCGGAAGGAUCAUUAACAGUGCUCUUUGUAUGCAAGUACAAUCUCACUAACCAACCAUGUGUGAACCGUUUUGACUGUGCAAGUGUGCGGUACUCGGCUACCAUGCUGGGUAUGGCGGCACACUUUUUACUUAACAAACCCGUCUUGACAGUAGUACUGAAUAGUAAAGCUUAGUUGAAAAACUUGCAAAACUUUUAGCAACGGAUCUCUAGGCUCUU
rnacentral:misc_RNA from 1 species